AUUGAACGCUGGCGGCAGGCUUAACACAUGCAAGUCGAUCGAGCGGCGGACGGGUGAGUAAUGUCUGGGAAACCGCCUGAUGGAGGGGGAUAACUACUGGAAACGGUAGCUAAUACCGCAUACUAUCAGAUGUGCCCAGAUGGGAUUAGCUAGUAGGUGGGGUAAUGGCUCACCUAGGGGACGCUCCCUAGCUGGUCUGAGAGGAUGAACAGCCACACUGGAAUUGAGAAACGGUCCGGACUCCUACGGGAGGCAGCAGUGGGGAAUAUAGAACAAUGGGAGCAAGACUGAUGCAGCCAAGCCGCGUGUGUGAAGAAGGCCUUCGGGUUGUAAAGCACUUUCAGCGAGGAGGCGUUACUCGCAGAAGAAGCACCGGCUAACUCCGUGCCAGCAGCCGCGGUAAUUC
rnacentral:rRNA from 1 species